rnacentral:rRNA from 1 species
AUUGAACGCUGGCGGCAUGCCUUACACAUGCAAGUCGAACGGUAACGGGCCUUCGGGUGCCGACGAGUGGCGAACGGGUGAGUAAUGUAUCGGAACGUACCUUUCAGUGGGGGAUAACGUAGCGAAAGUUACGCUAAUACCGCAUAUUCUGUGAGCAGGAAAGCAGGGGAUCGCAAGACCUUGCGCUGAUUGAGCGGCCGAUAUCAGAUUAGCUAGUUGGUGAGGUAAAGGCUCACCAAGGCGACGAUCUGUAGCGGGUCUGAGAGGAUGAUCCGCCACACUGGAACUGGGACACGGUCCAGACUCCUACGGGAGGCAGCAGUGGGGAAUUUUGGACAAUGGGGGCAACCCUGGUCCAGCCAUGCCGCGUGAGUGAAGAAGGCCUUCGGGUUGUAAAGCUCUUUCGGCCGGGAAGAAAUCGUAUCUGCUAAUACCUGGUGCGGAUGACGGUACCGGCAUAAGAAGCACCGGCUAACUACGUGCCAGCCGCCGCCGUAACAC